GGAGAGAGAGGGGGGGGCGGGCGGUGGCGAUGGAUGACUUGGCUUCCUAUUUCGUUGAAGAACGCAGUAAAGUGCGAUAAGUGGUAUCAAUUGCAGAAUCAUUCAAUUACCGAAUCUUUGAACGCAAACGGCGCAUGGGAGAAGCUCUAUUGUGUCAUCCCCGUGCAUGCCAUAUUCUCAGUGUCGAAC
rnacentral:rRNA from 1 species